rnacentral:rRNA from 1 species
AUUGAACGCUGGCGGCAUGCCUUACACAUGCCAGUCGGACGGCAGCAUGGGCUUCGGCCUGAUGGCGAGUGGCGAACGGGUGAGUAAAGCAUCGGAACGUACCUUUUGGUGGGGGAUAACGCGGCGAAAGUUGCGCUAAUACCGCAUAGUAUUCUGAGGAAUAAAGCAGGGGACCGUAAGGCCUUGCGCCAUGAGAUCGGCCGAUGUCGGAUUAGCUAGUUGGGGGGGUAAAGGCCUACCAAGGCGACGAGCCGUAGCGGGUCUGAGAGGAUGAUCCGCCACACUGGGACUGAGACACGGCCCAGACUCCUACGGGGGGCAGCAGUGGGGAAUUUUGGACAAUGGGCGGAAGCCUGAUCCAGCCAUGCCGCGUGAGUGAAGAAGGCCUUCGGGUUGUAAAGCUCUUUCGGUGGGGAAGAAAUCGCAAUGGUUAAUACCUAUUGUGGAUGACGGUACCCGCAUAAGAAGCACCGGCUAACUACGUGCCAGCCGCCGCCGUAA